rnacentral:rRNA from 1 species
ACUCAGUGAAAUUGAACUCGCUGUGAAGAUGCAGUGUACCCGCGGCAAGACGGAAAGACCCCGUGAACCUUUACUAUAGCUUGACACUGAACAUUGAGCCUUGAUGUGUAGGAUAGGUGGGAGGCUUUGAAGCGUGGACGCCAGUCUGCGUGGAGCCGACCUUGAAAUACCACCCUUUAAUGUUUGAUGUUCUAACGUGGACCCGUUACCCGGGUUGCGGACAGUGUCUGGUGGGUAGUUUGACUGGGGCGGUCUCCUCCUAAAGAGUAACGGAGGAGCACGAAGGUUGGCUAAUCCUGGUCGGACAUCAGGAGGUUAGUGCAAUGGCAUAAGCCAGCUUGACUGCGAGCGUGACGGCGCGAGCAGGUGCGAAAGCAGGUCAUAGUGAUCCGGUGGUUCUGAAUGGAAGGGCCAUCGCUCAACGGAUAAAAGGUACUCCGGGGAUAACAGGCUGAUACCGCCCAAGAGUUCAUAUCGACGGCGGUGUUUGGCACCUCGAUGUCGGCUCAUCACAUCCUGGGGCUGAAGUAGGUCCCAAGGGUAUGGCUGUUCGCCAUUUAAAGUGGUACGCGAGCUGGGUUUAGAACGUCGUGAGACAGUUCGGUCCCUAUCUGCCGUGGGCGCUGGAGAACUGAGGGGGGCUGCUCCUAGUACGAGAGGACCGGAGUGGACGCAUCACUGGUGUUCGGGUUGUCAUGCCAAUGGCACUGCCCGGUAGCUAAAUGCGGAAGAGAUAAGUGCUGAAAGCAUCUAAGCACGAAACUUGCCCCGAGAUGAGUUCUCCCUGAGACUUAGAGUCUCCUGAAGGAACGUUGAAGACGACGACGUUGAUAGGCCGGGUGUGUAAGCGCAGCGAUGCGUUGAGCUAACCGGUACUAAUGAACCGUGAGGCUUAACCUU